rnacentral:rRNA from 1 species
GACGAACGCUGGCGGCGUGCUUAACACAUGCAAGUCGAACGGAAAGGCCCCCUUGUGGGGUACUCGAGUGGCGAACGGGUGAGUAACAUGUGAGUAACCUACCCUUGACUUUGGGAUAACUUCAGGAAACUGGGGCUAAUACCGGAUAGGAGCUCCUGCUGCAUGGCGGGGGUUGGAAAGUUUCGGCGGUUGGGGAUGGACUCGCGGCUUAUCAGCCUGUUGGUGGGGUAGUGGCUCACCAAGGCUUUGACGGGUAGCCGGCCUGAGAGGGUGACCGGCCACAUUGGGACUGAGAUACGGCCCAGACUCCUACGGGAGGCAGCAGUGGGGAAUAUUGCACAGUGGGCGGAAGCCUGAUGCAGCAACGCCGCGUGCGGGAUGACGGCCUUCGGGUUGUAAACCGCUUUCGCCUGUGGCGAAGCGUGAGUGACGGUAAUGGGUAAAGAAGCACCGGCUAACUACGUG